rnacentral:rRNA from 1 species
GAUGAACGCUGGCGGCGUGCCUAAUACAUGCAAGUAGAACGCUGAAGGAGGAGCUUGCUCUUCUGGAUGAGUUGCGAACGGGUGAGUAACGCGUAGGUAACCUGCCUGGUAGCGGGGGAUAACUAUUGGAAACGAUAGCUAAUACCGCAUGACAACAGUUAUUGCAUGAUAACUGUUUAAAAGGGGCAACUGCUCCACUACCAGAUGGACCUGCGUUGUAUUAGCUAGUUGGUGGGGUAACGGCUCACCAAGGCGACGAUACAUAGCCGACCGGAGAGGGGGAUCGGCCAACCUGGGAAUGAGACACGGCCCCGACCCCUACGGGGAGCAGCAGUAGGGAAUCGUCGGCAAUGGACGGAAGUCUGACCGAGCAACGCCGCGUGAGGGAAGAAGGGUUUCGGAUCGUAAAGCUCUGUUGUAAGAGAAGAACGAGUGUGAGAGUGGAAAGUUCACACUGUGACGGUAUCUUACCAGAAAGGGACGGCUAACUACGUG